rnacentral:rRNA from 1 species
AACGAACGCUGGCGGCAGGCUUAACACAUGCAAGUCGAACGCCCCGCAAGGGGAGUGGCAGACGGGUGAGUAACACGUGGGAACAUGCCCAAAGGUACGGAACAACUCCGGGAAACUGGAGCUAAUACCGUAUGUGUCCGUAAGGAGAAAGAUUUAUCGCCUUUGGAUUGGCCCGCGUCGGAUUAGCUAGUUGGUGGGGUAAAAGCCUACCAAGGCGACGAUCCGUAGCUGGUUUGAGAGAACGACCAGCCACACUGGGACUGAGACACGGCCCAGACUCCUACGGGAGGCAGCAGUGGGGAAUCUUGGACAAUGGGCGCAAGCCUGAUCCAGCCAUGCCGCGUGGAUGAUGAAGGCCUUAGGGUUGUAAAAUCCUUUCGCCGAGGACGAUAAUGACGGUACUCGGAGAAGAAGACUCCGGCUAACUUCGUGCCAGCCGCCGCAGU